rnacentral:rRNA from 1 species
GUCUACAGCCAUACUACCCUGAAUAUACUUGAUCUCAUCUGAUCUUGGAAGCUAAGCAGGGCUGGGGGCCUGGUUAGUACUUGGAUGGGAGAUA